AACCAAAAGGUCCUGAACCGCGUCCUGAACCGAAAGUUCCUAAACCGUGUCCUAAACCGAAAGUUCCCGAACCGAAAGUUCCUAAACCGGGUCCUAAACCGUGUCCUAAACCGAAAAUUCCGAAACCGUAUCCUCCAAGACCUUGGAACGAUGACAAAGACAAAUGUGAUAAGAAAGACAAAUAUGACAGGCACGAUGGGAAAUGUGAUAAAGACAGGAAAGAAAAGCGAGGCAAAAAGGACAAGUGUGAUUAAUAGUGUGACUCAGGAUAAAAAUCCAGUCCUCAUCACAUAACAAGUAACAACUAAAAAGAAAUGCACCCGUGGAUCAGUGUUAUUGAAGUUGAAUUGCAAUAAAUAUCAAUUCAUGUCAAA